CAGUGUAAAACCCCGUUGAUUAACAGCAUGUAGAACUAAUUUUAGUAGCACUAACUGGUAGAAAUGUCUUUCUAAAUGAUGUUAUUA